rnacentral:rRNA from 1 species
AUUGAACGCUGGCGGCAGGCCUAACACAUGCAAGUCGAGUGGAUGAAGGGAGCUUGCUCCUGGAUUCAGCGGCGGACGGGUGAGUAAUGCCUAGGAAUCUGCCUGGUAGUGGGGGAUAACGUCCGGAAACGGGCGCUAAUACCGCAUACGUCCUGAGGGAGAAAGUGGGGGAUCUUCGGACCUCACGCUAUCAGAUGAGCCUAGGCCGGAUUAGCUAGUUGGUGGGGUAAAGGCCUACCAAGGCGACGAUCCGUAACUGGUCUGAGAGGAUGAUCAGUCACACUGGAACUGAGACACGGUCCAGACUCCUACGGGAGGCAGCAGUGGGGAAUAUUGGACAAUGGGCGAAAGCCUGAUCCAGCCAUGCCGCGUGUGUGAAGAAGGUCUUCGGAUUGUAAAGCACUUUAAGUUGGGAGGAAGGGCAGUAAGUUAAUACCUUGCUGUUUUGACGUUACCAACAGAAUAAGCACCGGCUAACUUCGUG